CCUUCAACUACGUGAUGAUAUCUGAUCGUAUAAACAAAUCAGCACAUAAGACCUCGAAUACCAACCAUCAAGAUCUUAGCCAACUGUACUAGACACUGUCAGUGGUUUAGAAACCAAAAGUUUUGAUUUUUUUUUUUUUUGAGAGAUAGGUAGCACGCUACCCGCUUCGUUUAUUCUAUUUAGAAAUAAACUUAGCAAGAAAUGUGAAUCAACUAGAAUUCGAACUUGGAUUUCGGAUACCAACCACCAAACCCUUUGCCACUUGCUCUAGGAACGGUCGGUAAAAGUUUUGAUUGUUAAUUUAAAUUUUUCGCUUUCAACUUUAAGAGGUACAACCCAGAGACUUACUAAGAGGUCUAAGAUGCAUGUGAAAUUGAAAUAAAUAAAAGAACAUUAAAUAACACUAAAAGCUUGGCGAGAUUAGAUACUGAAACUCAGCAUAUUAUGUUCUAACUAAUGCAAUAUUAAAUUAUGAAAAACAAUAAUUAUUCCUCAAAAAUCUUUGUUAUUAUUUUAAAUAUUUAUAUUCAACAUCAUUGUCUCCCUUUUUUAUCCACAAAACUUA
rnacentral:lncRNA from 1 species